rnacentral:lncRNA from 1 species
AGACACACAACUAAACACCAAGUGGAACUGGUAUGAGUGACCUCUCUCAAACCCUCAAAUUUUCACAAAUAUUUAGCCUUAGGCUUAGUAGUUUUUAUGAAAAUAGCCACGAGAAAUCACGAGGAGCAUCGUAUGGCCAUAAGGCUAGGGGUUAAAAUCAGAAUGAGCUUUGAAUGCUCCCCCUAUCUAUGGACGAACA